AUGUCCGGAGCCCUUGAUGUCCUGCAAAUGAAGGAGGAGGAUGUCCUUAAGUUCCUUGCAGCAGGAACCCACUUAGGUGGCACCAAUCUUGACUUCCAGAUGGAACAGUACUGGAGCGCUCAGCCUGCCACGGAAGACUGGUCUGCAGCUCCCACUGCUCAGGCCACUGAAUGGGUAGGAGCAACCACUGACUGGUCUUAA
rnacentral:lncRNA from 1 species